UACCAUUGCUAGAUGGUCACUUCGAUUAGUACAGGAAUUGGUUCCUGUGCUACCGGCUUAGGUUCGAACCUGUGGGGUCACACACAUUAGAGGUUCCUAUCUGAUCUGAUGGCUGAUGUAGAAUCUUACAUAUUUGGAACUCAGUGAUCGAGAAUCAGGAUUCUCUAAUCACGAGUUCCACACAUUAUGGGUACCGGGGU
rnacentral:lncRNA from 1 species